UACAUAGGGUGCAAGCGUUGUCCGGAAUUAUUGGGCGUAAAGAGCUCGUAGGUGGUUAGUUACGUCGGGUGUGAAAAUCUGGGGCUCAACCCCAGACCUGCACUCGAUACGGGCUAGCUAGAGUUUGGUAGGGGAGACUGGAAUUCCUGGUGUAGCGGUGGAAUGCGCAGAUAUCAGGAGGAACACCAAUGGCGAAGGCAGGUCUCUGGGCCAAUACUGACACUGAGGAGCGAAAGCGUGGGGAGCGAACAGG
rnacentral:rRNA from 1 species